CCUACGGGGGGCAGCAGUGAGGAAUAUUGGUCAGUGGACGAGAGUCUGAACCAGCCAAGUAGCGUGAAGGAUGACUGCCCUAUGGGUUGUAAACUUCUUUUAUAUGGGAAUAAAACGUUCCACGUGUGGGAUUUUGUAUGUACCAUAUGAAUAAGGAUCGGCUAACUCCGUGCCAGCAGCCGCGGUAAUACGGAGGAUCCGAGCGUGAUCCGGAUUUAUUGGGUUUAAAGGGAGCGUAGGUGGAUUGUUAAGUCAGUUGUGAAAGUUUGCGGCGCAACCGUAACAUUGCAGUUGAAACUGGCAGUCUUGAGUACAGUAGAGGUGGGCGGAAUUCGUGGUGUAGCGGUGAAAUGCGUAGAUAUCACGAAGAACUCCGAUUGCGAAGGCAGUUCACUGGACUGCAACUGACACUGAGGCUCGAAAGUGUGGGUAUCAAACAGGAUUAGAUACCCCAGUAGUC
rnacentral:rRNA from 1 species